GGAUGCGAUCAUACCAGCACUAAAGCACCGGAUCCCAUCAGAACUCCGAAGUUAAGCGUGCUUGGGCGAGAGUAGUACUAGGAUGGGUGACCUCCUGGGAAGUCCUCGUGUUGCAUCCCUGACUUUUGCCGUUUCCGUCGCUCGCUUUGUUCCGUUCGUUGCAGCCCCGUUCGUUGCACGGUUUGUUGCCGUUUCCGUCGCUCGCUUUGUUCCGUUCGUUGCAGCCCCGUUCGUUGCACGGUUUGGCCAAUUUUCGCCGGCCGUCCUCGCGGGGGGCGAAGAUAAGGGGAGCGGCGGCGCGGGGCAUGUC
rnacentral:rRNA from 2 species